rnacentral:lncRNA from 1 species
CUCACAUGUGUUUGUGGCAUGUUUGGCACGUGGUUCAGGCAUGGCAGGCAAGUUGGGCCAGUUUGGCUGACACGUGCUUCAAGUGAGUCUGAGCUGUUGUUCAAGUGUGACAGCUACUUUGUUCAGGCCUAGCUGGCACAUGACUUCGGCACUGCUGCAUCCACCUACAUGGGCACUGCAUCCUAUGUCACAACAUAGUGCAUCCAUAUUGUGGGACACUGAAUCCACUGCAUGACUACUGCAUCCACAUUCCAGGACAAUGCGGGGGGCAUUGCAAACACUGGAGGGACACUGCAUACAGCUGAAGGGGCACGGAGGGUGCACUGCAAACACUGCAGGCUCACUGCCUCCACCUUCGUGAUCACUGAAUCCUCCCACACAUCAUAAUGCAUCCACCUUGAGGGAGACCGCAUCCACUGCAUGACCCAUGUAGCCACAUUCCAGCACAAUGCCGGGGCACUGCAACCACUGCAGGAUCACUGCAUCCCCCUUCAUGGGCACUGCAUCCUCUGUCACAACAUACUGCAUAAACCUUUAGGUACACUGCAUCCACUGCAUGGCAACUGCAUUCACCUUCAGCAACACAGAAAGCGGCUCUCCAACACCUGCAGGGACACUGCUUCCAUCUGAUGUGGAAAUGCAGGUGCACUCCAACCACUGCAGGAUCACUGCAUCCACUGCAUGUUCACAGCAUCCACAUUCAGGGACACAGCAGGGUGCACUGCAACCACUGACGGAUCCCUGCAUCCACCUUCAUGGGCACUGAAUCUUCCAUCACAACAGACGACAUCCACCUUUUGGGACACUGCAACUGCUGCAUGGGCACUGCAUCCACAUUCAGGGAACGCUAAGGGGCACUACAAGCACGGCAGCAUCACUGCAUCCACAUUCAUGGGCCAUGCAUCCUCCAUCAAAACCUACUGUAUCCAGGUUGUGGGACACUGCAUCCACUGCAUGACUCCUGCAUCCACAUUUCCGGACAAUGCGGUGGGCACUGCCAUCACUGCAGGGACACUGCAUCCAGUUGAAGUGGCACUGCAGGUGCACUGAAAU